rnacentral:rRNA from 1 species
UACGAAGGGGGCUAGCGUUGUUCGGAAUUACUGGGCGUAAAGCGCACGUAGGCGGAUAUUUAAGUCAGGGGUGAAAUCCCAGAGCUCAACUCUGGAACUGCCUUUGAUACUGGGUAUCUUGAGUAUGGAAGAGGUAAGUGGAAUUGCGAGUGUAGAGGUGAAAUUCGUAGAUAUUCGCAGGAACACCAGUGGCGAAGGCGACUUACUGGACACAUAUUGACGCUGAGGUGCGAAAGCGUGGGGAGCAAACAGGG